rnacentral:rRNA from 1 species
GAUGAACGCUGGCGGCGUGCCUAAUACAUGCAAGUCGAGCGAACGGACGAUAAUCUUUCUUCUCUUAUGUUAUCGGCUGACGUGUUAUUAACACUUGGAUAACCUACCUAUAAUACUUGUAUAACUUCGUGAAACCUUAUCUAAUACCGUAUGAUAUUUUUAACCGCAUGUUUCAUAAGUUAAUGACGUUCUUGCUGUCACUUAUAUAUGUAUCCGCGCUGCAUUAGCUAGUUGGUAAGGUAACGGCUUACCAAGGCAACGAUGCAUAUCCGACAUGAGAGGGUGAGCGGACAAACUGGAACGGAGACAGGGACAAGAGUACUACGGGAGGCAGCAGAAGGGAAUAUUCCGAAAUGGGCGAAAGGAUGACGGAGCAAAGCAGCGUGAGUGAUGAAGGUGUAAGGAUCGUAAAACUCUGUUAUUAGGGAAGAAAAUAUGUGUAAGUAAAAGUGCACAGAUUGACGGUAACUAAUCAGAAAGCAACGGCUAACUACGUG